rnacentral:rRNA from 1 species
AGCGAACGCUGGCGGCAGGCUUAACACAUGCAAGUCGAGCGCCCCGCAAGGGAAGCGGCAGACGGGUGAGUAACACGUGGGAACGUACCUUUUGGUUCGGAACAACCCAGGGAAACUUGGGCUAAUACCGGAUAAGCCCUUACGGGGAAAGAUUUAUCGCCAAAAGAUCGGCCCGCGUCUGAUUAGCUAGUUGGUGGGGUAAUGGCCCACCAAGGCUACGAUCAGUAGCUGGUCUGAGAGGAUGAUCAGCCACAUUGGGACUGAGACACCGCCCAAACUCCUACGGGAGGCAGCAGUGGGGAAUAUUGGACAAUGGGGGAAACCCUGAUCCAGCCAUGCCGCGUGAGUGAUGAAGGCCUUAGGGUUGUAAAGCUCUUUUAGCAGGGAAGAUAAUGACGGUACCUGCAGAAAAGCCCCGGCUAACUUCGUGCCAGCCGCCGCGGUAA